rnacentral:rRNA from 1 species
UACGUAGGGUGCAAGCGUUGUCCGGAAUCAUUGGGCGUAAAGCGCGCGUAGGCGGCCCGAUAAGUCCGCUGUAAAAGUCAACGGCUCAACUGUUGAAAGCCGGUGGAUACUGUCGGGCUAGAGUACGGAAGAGGCAAGUGGAAUUCCUGGUGUAGCGGUGGAAUGCGCAGAUAUCAGGAGGAACACCUAUAGCGAAGGCAGCUUGCUGGGACGUUACUGACGCUAAGGCGCGAAAGCAUGGGGAGCAAACAGG